GACGAACGCUGGCGGCGUGCUUAACACAUGCAAGUGGAGCGACGAACCAGGGCUUGCCCUGGGGCAGAGCCGCGAACGGGUGAGUAACUCGUGGGUAACGUGCCCCGAUGACUGGGACAACCCGGGGAAACCCGGGCUAAUACCGGAUGUGCCCCCUCACAUCAGUGAGGUGUGUAAAGGAAGCUUCGGCCUCCGCAUCGGGAUCGGCCCGCGGCCCAUUAGCUUGUUGGUGAGGUAACGGCUCACCAAGGCUGCGAUGGGUAGCUGGUCUGAGAGGACGAUCAGCCACACUGGGACUGAGACACGGCCCAGACUCCUACGGGAGGCAGCAGUGGGGAAUCUUGCGCAAUGCGCGAAAGCGUGACGCAGCAACGCCGCGUGGGGGAAGACGGCCUUCGGGUUGUAAACCCCUUUCAGUUGGGACGAAGGUCGGGCGGUUAACAGCCGUUCCGGCUGACGGUACCUUCACAAGAAGCCCCGGCUAACUACGUG
rnacentral:rRNA from 1 species